GACGAACGCUGGCGGCGUGCUUAACACAUGCAAGUCGAACGGAAAGGCCCUGCUUUUGUGGGGUGCUCGAGUGGCGAACGGGUGAGUAACACGUGAGUAACCUGCCCUUGACUUUGGGAUAACUUCAGGAAACUGGGGCUAAUACCGGAUAGGAGCUCCUGCUGCAUGGGGGGGGUUGGAAAGUUUCGGCGGUUGGGGAUGUACUCGCGGCUUAUCAGCUUGUUGGUGGGGUAGUGGCUUACCAAGGCUUUGACGGGUAGCCGGCCUGAGAGGGUGACCGGCCACAUUGGGACUGAGAUACGGCCCAGACUCCUACGGGAGGCAGCAGUGGGGAAUAUUGCACAAUGGGCGGAAGCCUGAUGCAGCAACGCCGCGUGCGGGAUGACGGCCUUCGGGUUGUAAACCGCUUUCGCCUGUGACGAAGCGUGAGUGACGGUAAUGGGUAAAGAAGCACCGGCUAACUACGUG
rnacentral:rRNA from 1 species